GAUGAACGCUAGCUACAGGCUUAACACAUGCAAGUCGAGGGGAAACGACAUCGAAAGCUUGCUUUUGAUGGGCGUCGACCGGCGCACGGGCGAGUAACGCGUAUCCAACCUGCCCAUCACUUGGGAAUAACCUUGCGAAAGUAAGACUAAUACCCAAUGACAUCCCACGAAGACAUCUGAAUGGGAUUAAAGAUUUAUCGGUGAUGGAUGGGGAUGCGUCUGAUUAGCUUGUUGGCGGGGUAACGGCCCACCAAGGCAACGAUCAGUAGGGGUUCUGAGAGGAAGGUCCCCCACAUUGGAACUGAGACACGGUCCAAACUCCUACGGGAGGCAGCAGUGAGGAAUAUUGGUCAAUGGGCGAGAGCCUGAACCAGCCAAGUAGCGUGCAGGAUGACGGCCCUAUGGGUUGUAAACUGCUUUUAUAAGGGAAUAAAGUGGGUCUCGUGAGACUUUUUGCAUGUACCUUAUGAAUAAGGACCGGCUAAUUCCGUG
rnacentral:rRNA from 1 species